CGUGCUCUCUCUCUUCUGUCAGCUCAGUCCCAACAA
rnacentral:sRNA from 1 species